rnacentral:rRNA from 1 species
GACGAACGCUGGCGGCGUGCUUAACACAUGCAAGUCGAACGAAGAGCGAUGGAAGCUUGCUUCUCUCAAUCUUAGUGGCGAACGGGUGAGUAACGCGUAAUCAACCUGCCCUUCAGAGGGGGACAACAGUUGGAAACGACUGCUAAUACCGCAUACGAUCCAAUCUCGGCAUCGGGACUGGAUGAAAGGUGGCCUCUAUUUAUAAGCUAUCACUGAAGGAGGGGAUUGCGUCUGAUUAGCUAGUUGGAGGGGUAACGGCCCACCAAGGCGAUGAUCAGUAGCCGGUCUGAGAGGAUGAACGGCCACAUUGGGACUGAGACACGGCCCAGACUCCUACGGGAGGCAGCAGUGGGGAAUCUUCCGCAAUAGACGAAAGUCUGACGGAGCAACGCCGCGUGAGUGAUGACGGCCUUCGGGUUGUAAAGCUCUGUUAAUCGGGACGAAUGGUUCUUGUGCGAAUAGUGCGAGGAUUUGACGGUACCGGAAUAGAAAGCCACGGCUAACUACGUG